UGGUUAGAGUGUAGAGGUGGCAGGGUAGUCUAGUCGUUAGAGUGUAGAGGAGGCAGGUAGCCUAGUGGUUAGAGUGUAGAGGUGGCAGGGUAGCCUAGUGGUUAGAGUGUAGAGGUGGCAGGGUAGCCUAGUGGUUAGAGUGUAGAGGAGGCAGGUAGCCUAGUGGUUAGAGCGUAGAGGUGGCAGGGUAGCCUAGUGGUUAGAGUGUAGAGGAGGCAGGUAGCCUAGUGGUUAGAGCGUAGAGGCGGCAGGUAGCCUAGUGGUUAGAGCGUAGAGGAGGCAGGGUAGCCUAGUGGUUAGAGUGUAGAGGAGGCAGGUAGCCUAGUGGUUAGAGCGUAGAGGCGGCAGGUAGCCUAGUGGUUAGAGCGUAGAGGCGGCAGGUAGCCUAGUGGUUAGAGCGUAGAGGCGGCAGGUAGCCUAGUGGUUAGAGCGUAGAGGAGGCAGGUAGCCUAGUGGUUAGAGUGUAGAGGAGGCAGGUAGCCUAGUGGUUAGAGCGUAGAGGAGGCAGGUAGCCUAGUGGUUAGAGCGUAGAGGAGGCAGGUAGCCUAGUGGUUAGAGCGUAGAGGCGGCAGGUAGCCUAGUGGUUAGAGCGUAGAGGUGGCAGGGUAGUCUAGUCGUUAGAGUGUAGAGGAGGCAGGUAGCCUAGUGGUUAGAG